UACGGGGGGGGCAAGCGUUGUUCGGAAUUACUGGGCGUAAAGGGCGCGUAGGCGGCCUUCUAAGUCGGACGUGAAAUCCCUCGGCUUAACCGAGGAACUGCGUCCGAUACUGAAGGCUUGAAUCCGGGAGAGGGAUGUGGAAUUCCAGGUGUAGCAGUGAAAUGCGUAGAGAUCGGAAGGAACAUCUGUGGCGAAGGCGACUAUCUGGGCCAACACUGACACUGAGGCACGAAAGCGUGGGGAGCAAACAGG
rnacentral:rRNA from 1 species